GACAGAGGAUGCAAGCGUUAUCCGGAAUGAUUGGGCGUAAAGCGUCUGUAGGUGGCUUUUUAAGUCCGCCGUCAAAUCCCAGGGCUCAACCCUGGACAGGCGGUGGAAACUACCAAGCUGGAGUACGGUAGGGGCAGAGGGAAUUUCCGGUGGAGCGGUGAAAUGCGUAGAGAUUGGAAAGAACACCAAUGGCGAAAGCACUUUACUGGGCUAUUACUGACACUGAGAGACGAAAGCUAGGGUAGCGAAUGGG
rnacentral:rRNA from 1 species